rnacentral:rRNA from 1 species
AUUGAACGCUGGCGGCAGGCCUAACACAUGCAAGUCGAGCGCGCGGCGGACGGGUGUGUAAUAUAUGGGGAUCUGCCCGAUAGAGGGGGAUAACUACUGGAAACGGUUGCUAAUACCGCAUACUAUCGGAUGAACCCAUAUUGGAUUAGCUAGUAGGUGGGGGAAAGGCUCACCUAGGCGACGAUGUCUAGCUGGUCUGAGAGGAUGAGCAGACACACUGGGACUGAGACACGGCCCAGAAUCCUACGGGAGGCAGCAGUGGGGAAUAUUGCACAAUGGGCGCAAGCCUGAUGCAGCCAUGCCGCGUGUAUGAAGAAGGCCUUAGGGUGGUAAAGUACUUGCAGCGGGGAGGCGUUACCCGCAGAAGAAGCACCGGCUAACUACGUGCCAGCAGCCGCGGUAAUAC